UGCAAAUGAUGAGAUAGAGAAUUUUAUUUUCUGUGUGUAAAUUCGAUAACAACAACAAAUUGUGAACGAUUGGUAAUGCGUGUGUGUGUGCUCCAGUGUGUGUGCAUGUGUGUGUGUGUGUACCAAUGCGC
rnacentral:sRNA from 1 species